ACUCGAAAACGACAGGAACCAAAAGAGACAUGAAGCGUGACGACGACAACAAAACAAUGAUCCGACAGAGUGUGAGGGGCAGACUGGACUUAUAUACACGACAGAUAACAAGAGGCAGGUGAGAAUAAUCAAACUAAUCAUGGGCACACAGGAGGGGAGGGGUGAGCACACAUACA